rnacentral:rRNA from 1 species
GUCGAACGGACUUAUACUGAAACCUAGUGAUUUAUGAGUUAGUGGCGGACGGGUGAGUAACGCGUGGAUAACCUGCCGUAUACCGGGGGAUAACACUUAGAAAUAGGUGCUAAUACCGCAUAAGCGCACGGCUCCGCAUGGGGCAGUGUGAAAAACUCCGGUGGUAUACGAUGGAUCCGCGUCUGAUUAGCUAGUUGGCGGGGUAACGGCCCACCAAGGCAGCGAUCAGUAGCCGGCCUGAGAGGGUGGACGGCCACAUUGGGACUGAGACACGGCCCAAACUCCUACGGGAGGCAGCAGUGGGGAAUAUUGCACAAUGGGGGAAACCCUGAUGCAGCGACGCCGCGUGAGUGAAGAAGUAUCUCGGUACGUAAAGCUCUAUCAGCAGGGAAGAAAAUGACGGUACCUGACUAAGAAGCCCCGGCUAACUACGUGCCAGCAGCCGCGGUAAUACGUAGGGGGCAAGCGUUAUCCGGAUUUACUGGGUGUAAAGGGAGCGUAGACGGCAGCACAAGUCUGGAGUGAAAUCCCGGGGCUUAACCCCGGAACUGCUUUGGAAACUGUGCGGCUGGAGUGCAGGAGGGGUAAGCGGAAUUCCUAGUGUAGCGGUGAAAUGCGUAGAUAUUAGGAGGAACACCGGUGGCGAAGGCGGCUUACUGGACUGUAACUGACGUUGAGGCUCGAAAGCGUGGGGAGCAAACAGGAUUAGAUACCCUGGUAGUCCACGCCGUAAACGAUGAUUACUAGGUGUCGGGGGAUCAAGGUCCUCCGGUGCCGGCGCAAACGCAUUAAGUAAUCCACCUGGGGAG